UCCAGACUCCUACGGGAGGCAGCAGUCGGGAAUAUUGCGCAAUGGAGGAAACUCUGACGCAGUGACGCCGCGUAUAGGAAGAAGGUUUUCGGAUUGUAAACUAUUGUCGUUAGGGAAGAUAAAAGACUGUACCUAAGGAGGAAGCCCCGGCUAACUACGUGCCAGCAGCCGCGGUAAUACGUAGGGGGCAAGCGUUAUCCGGAUUUACUGGGUGUAAAGGGAGCGUAGACGGCGUGCCAAGUCUGAUGUGAAAGGCCGGGGCUCAACCCCGGGACUGCAUUGGAAACUGGCAUGCUGGAGUGCCGGAGGGGCAAGCGGAAUUCCUAGUGUAGCGGUGAAAUGCGUAGAUAUUAGGAGGAACACCGGUGGCGAAGGCGGCUUGCUGGACGGUAACUGACGUUGAGGCUCGAAAGCGUGGGGAGCAAACAGGAUUAGAUACCCGUGUACU
rnacentral:rRNA from 1 species